rnacentral:rRNA from 1 species
AACGAACGCUGGCGGCAGGCCUAACACAUGCAAGUCGAACGCCCGUAGCAAUGCGGGAGUGGCAGACGGGUGAGUAACGCGUGGGAACGUGCCCUUCGGUUCGGAAUAACUCAGGGAAACUUGAGCUAAUACCGGAUACGUCCGUAAGGAGAAAGAUUUAUCGCCGAAGGAUCGGCCCGCGUCGGAUUAGCUAGUUGGUGAGGUAACGGCCCACCAAGGCGACGAUCCGUAGCUGGUCUGAGAGGAUGAUCAGCCACACUGGGACUGAGACACGGCCCAGACUCCUACGGGAGGCAGCAGUGGGGAAUAUUGGACAAUGGGCGAAAGCCUGAUCCAGCCAUGCCGCGUGAGUGAAGAAGGCCUUAGGGUUGUAAAGCUCUUUCAGCGGGGAAGAUAAUGACGGUACCCGCAGAAGAAGCCCCGG